AACAGAGUUGUACCUCUAGGUUUUCCUAAUCCAAAUUCAUAGCAAAUUUUAUUUGUGUGAUCCAAAUAAUCAGAAACAAAAAUUGAAAGCUCAUACAUUCCCGCUAAAAUUUUAUGUAGUGUAAAAAAACACAUACAUUCCCGCUAAAAUGAAUUAGGCCGACAAUUUGUUUGUCGCGUAGUGCUUUUCUGUUUCUCUUUCUUUUUUUCUUCUUCCGCGUUUACAGUUGGAACAGCUGUAUUGUGCAGCACAAGCACAUUUAAUGCUAUUUUCUCACUCUCUUUUUACUGUUGUUAAGUUGUUUAGUAUUUAGAGGGUGUUUGGCUGAGCUUAGUUGUAAUAUAAAAAAUUUAAAUGCUAAAAUGUAUAUAAUUCACAUGCCGUGCGAUAAUAUAAAAAAAUUAAAUGCUAAAUUAUAUAAAUUUUAGCAUUUUCUUUUAAAAAAAACGACCGUUUAUAGAAAUCAGCAGCAAUUCUUCAAUUCGCCCCACUUGAAUUCGAAAUCAGUAAUUCUCCAGUUCCGCCAAUUUCUUUGAAAACCCUUCACCAAAACACAUUCACGCUUCUCAGCACUACUCGAUCGACGGACCUAUCUCUCCGAUAAUCGCAAGUAGGUUCUUCUCCAUUUUCAAUUGUUUUUCUUCUUUUACUUGUGUCGAAUCUAACUAUUGACUAAAAUUGAUGAAUAGUUCAGUAAGAGAUUUGAAUUGUGAA
rnacentral:lncRNA from 1 species